CGCACGUCGAUUGCUCUCUAG
rnacentral:miRNA from 1 species